AGAGUUUGAUCAUGGCUCAGAUUGAACGCUGGCGGAAUGCUUUACACAUGCAAGUCGAGCGGCAGCGCGGGGGCAACCCUGGCGGCGAGCGGCGAACGGGUGAGUAAUGUAUCGGAACGUACCCAGUCGUGGGGGAUAACUAUUCGAAAGGAUAGCUAAUACCGCAUACGACCUGAGGGUGAAAGCGGGGGACCGAAAGGCCUCGCGCGAUUGGAGCGGCCGAUAUCGGAUUAGCUAGUUGGUGAGGUAAAGGCUCACCAAGGCGACGAUCCGUAGCUGGUCUGAGAGGACGACCAGCCACACUGGAACUGAGACACGGUCCAGACUCCUACGGGAGGCAGCAGUGGGGAAUUUUGGACAAUGGGGGCAACCCUGAUCCAGCCAUUCCGCGUGAGUGAAGAAGGCCUUCGGGUUGUAAAGCUCUUUCGGCCGGGAAGAAAUCGCAUGGGUUAAUACCCUGUGUGGAUGACGGUACCGGCAUAAGAAGCACCGGCUAACUACGUG
rnacentral:rRNA from 1 species